GAUCUUAACGUAAUACGUAUUUUAACGUGCGGCUUUCAUUCUUGAAGAGACAUUAUGUAAGAAAGCACCUAACAAGAUGAAGCAUCAAAAAUAAUUUUGUGUGUAAAAGAAAGCUGGCACUACAGUGAGAUCGUGGAAUCAUUAAAAUUGGAAAAGGCCUCUAAGAUCAGCUAGUCUGACCGUGCGGGAAGACAUGAAGGCAGAGGAGGGAUCUGAAAGAUGGCAGCGAGGGCUCUUGACUUAGGAGAGGAAGCAGAGUGGAAAAGAGGGGUAAAAAGUUAUAAGUUGGCUUGCUACUCUGAAUUCAUUUUUAAGCAAAAUCAUCCUUGGAGAACAAUAGUUACAGAUAUAGGCCAGAAGAACCCUGAAAUUCAUCAAGGUGAAGUUUUGAGGUGUAAGUAGCUCUAUCUUUUUUCGAAACUUCCUGAGUAUAUGUGCUUAUGAAUGCUUUAGAGACUGGAGCCUUAGUAUUGGCUUUGACUGUGGUCUAAUGAGAACAGUUUCAAAACCUGGUUUUGUAAAAGAAUUUCACAGUUGCUGGUCUGUAAAAAUAAAGCUAUGAAGACAGAAUGCUUUUCCA
rnacentral:lncRNA from 1 species